rnacentral:rRNA from 1 species
ACAGUGGACGCGAGCAUCUGUGGCCAAGUUUUUAAGGGCGCACGGUGGAUGCCUUGGCACCAGGAACCGAUGAAGGACGUGGGAGGCCACGAUAGUCCCCGGGGAGCCGUCAACCAGGCUUUGAUCCGGGGUUUGAAUGGGAAACCGGCAGUCGUCAUGGGCUGUCACCGCUGCUGAACACAUAGGCAGUGUGGAGGGAACGAGGGGAAGUGAAACAUCUCAGUACCCUCAGGAAGAGAAAACAACCGUGAUUCCGGGAGUAGUGGCGAGCGAAACCGGAUGAGGCCAAACCGUAUGCGUGUGAUACCCGGCAGGGGUUGCGCAUACGGGGUUGUGGGAUUGCACUUCAACAGUCUGCCGGCUGUUGGGCAAGUCAGAAACCGUUGAUGUAGGCGAAGGACAUGCGAAAGGUCCGGCGUAGAGGGUAAGACCCCCGUAGCUGAAAUUCAUACGGCUCGUUUAAGAGACACCCAAGUAGCACGGGGCCCGAGAAAUCCCGUGUGAAUCUGGCGGGACCACCCGUUAAGCCUAAAUAUUCCCUGGUGACCGAUAGCGGAUAGUACCGUGAGGGAAUGGUGAAAAGUACCGCGGGAGCGGAGUGAAAUAGUACCUGAAACCGUGUGCCUACAAGCCGUGGGAGCGUCGCUCAUUGAGUUUACUCAAUGGGUCGUGACUGCGUGCCUUUUGAAGAAUGAGCCUGCGAGUUAGCGGUGUGUAGCGAGGUUAACCCGUGUGGGGAAGCCGUAGCGAAAGCGAGUCCGAACAGGGCGAUUGAGUUGCACGCUCUAGACCCGAAGCGGAGUGAUCUAGCCAUGGGCAGGUUGAAGCGGAGGUAAGACUUCGUGGAGGACCGAACCCACCAGGGUUGAAAACCUGGGGGAUGACCUGUGGUUAGGGGUGAAAGGCCAAUCAAACUCCGUGAUAGCUGGUUCUCCCCGAAAUGCAUUUAGGUGCAGCGUCGUGUGUUUCUUGCCGGAGGUAGAGCACUGGAUAGGCGAUGGGCCCUACCGGGUUACUGACCUUAGCCAAACUCCGAAUGCCGGUAAGUGAGAGCACGGCAGUGAGACUGUGGGGGAUAAGCUCCAUGGUCGAGAGGGAAACAGCCCAGAGCAUCGACUAAGGCCCCUAAGCGUACGCUAAGUGGGAAAGGAUGUGGAGUCGCAGAGACAACCAGGAGGUUGGCUUAGAAGCAGCCACCCUUGAAAGAGUGCGUAAUAGCUCACUGGUCAAGUGAUUCCGCGCCGACAAUGUAGCGGGGCUCAAGCGUACCGCCGAAGUCGUGUCAUUUCAGCAUAUAGGGCCAACGCCCGCUGGGAUGGGUAGGGAGCGUCGUGCCGGGUGAAGCCGCGCCGGAAGGCAGUGGUGGACGGUACACGAGUGAGAAUGCAGGCAUGAGUAGCGAUACACACGUGAGAAACGUGUGCGCCGAUUGACUAAGGGUUCCUGGGUCAAGCUGAUCUGCCCAGGGUAAGUCGGGACCUAAGGCGAGGCCGACAGGCGUAGUCGAUGGACAACCGGUUGAUAUUCCGGUACCCGCUUUGAAACGCCCAAUACUGAAUCCUCUAAUGCUAAGGCCGUGAAGCCGCCCUGAUCUCUUCGGAGUUGAGGGGAGUGGUGGAGCCGCCGGCCCAAGGUGGUAGUAGGUAAGCGAUGGGGUGACGCAGGAAGGUAGUCCAGCCCGGGCGGUGGUUGUCCCGGGGUAAGGGUGUAGGCCGUGUGGCAGGUAAAUCCGUCACACAUUAAGGCUGAGACCUGAUGCCGAGCCGAUUGUGGUGAAGUGGAUGAUCCUAUGCUGUCGAGAAAAGCCUCUAGCGAGUUUCAUGGCGGCCCGUACCCUAAACCGACUCAGGUGGUCAGGUAGAGAAUACCGAGGCGUUCGGGUGAACUAUGGUUAAGGAACUCGGCAAAAUGCCCCCGUAACUUCGGGAGAAGGGGGGCCAUCACUGGUGAGAGGACUUGCUCCUUGAGCUGGGGGUGGCCGCAGAGACCAGCGAGAAGCGACUGUUUACUAAAAACACAGGUCCGUGCGAAGCCGUAAGGCGAUGUAUACGGACUGACGCCUGCCCGGUGCUGGAACGUUAAGGGGACCGGUUAGUGCGCUUUCGGGCGUGCGAAGCUGAGAACUUAAGCGCCAGUAAACGGCGGUGGUAACUAUAACCAUCCUAAGGUAGCGAAAUUCCUUGUCGGGUAAGUUCCGACCUGCACGAAUGGCGUAACGACUUCUCGACUGUCUCAACCAUAGGCCCGGUGAAAUUGCACUACGAGUAAAGAUGCUCGUUUCGCGCAGCAGGACGGAAAGACCCCGGGACCUUUACUACAGUUUGAUAUUGGUGUUCGGUUCGGCUUGUGUAGGAUAGGUGGGAGACUUUGAAGCGGCCACGCCAGUGGUUGUGGAGUCGCCGUUGAAAUACCACUCUGGUCGUGCUGGAUGUCUAACCUGGGUCCGUGAUCCGGAUCAGGGACAGUGUCUGAUGGGUAGUUUAACUGGGGCGGUUGCCUCCUAAAGAGUAACGGAGGCGCCCAAAGGUUCCCUCAGCCUGGUUGGCAAUCAGGUGUUGAGUGUAAGUGCACAAGGGAGCUUGACUGUGAGACCGACGGGUCGAGCAGGGACGAAAGUCGGGACUAGUGAUCCGGCGGUGGCUUGUGGAAGCGCCGUCGCUCAACGGAUAAAAGGUACCCCGGGGAUAACAGGCUGAUCUUCCCCAAGAGUCCAUAUCGACGGGAUGGUUUGGCACCUCGAUGUCGGCUCGUCGCAUCCUGGGGCUGGAGUCGGUCCCAAGGGUUGGGCUGUUCGCCCAUUAAAGCGGUACGCGAGCUGGGUUUAGAACGUCGUGAGACAGUUCGGUCCCUAUCCGCUGCGCGCGCAGGAGUCUUGAGAAGGGCUGUCCCUAGUACGAGAGGACCGGGACGGACGAACCUCUGGUGUGCCAGUUGUCCUGCCAAGGGCAUGGCUGGUUGGCUACGUUCGGAAAGGAUAACCGCUGAAAGCAUCUAAGCGGGAAGCCUGCUUCGAGAUGAGGACUCCCACCUCCUAGAGAGGGUAAGGCUCCCAGUAGACGACUGGGUUGAUAGGCCGGAUAUGGAAGCACCGCAAGGUGUGGAGUUGACCGGUACUAAUAGGCCGAGGGCUUGUCCUCAGUUG